rnacentral:rRNA from 1 species
GAAAGCCUGACAGUUAAGCUGCCAGAUUUCUCAAGAGACUUAUCCGGCCGGCUACAGACCCUUUAGACCCAAUAAUAACGGUUACCACUCGAGCCGCCGGUGUUACCGCGGCGGCUGGCACCGGUCUUGCCCGGCCCUUGCUAUGAAAUGCUUUUUAGGCAUCUCGACAGCCAGAUUUGUAACCUGGCACUCGAGGUUCCCUUAUCGCUGUUGCCAGCAUUGUAAAGUUUUCGCGCCUGCUGCACCCCGUAGGGCCUGGAUUCGUGUCUCAGAAUCCAUCUCCGGGCUCUUGCUCUCACAACCCGUACCCGUCGUAGGCUAGUAGGUACGCUACACCCACUACUACCUGAUAGGCCGCAGACCCAUCCUUAGGCGCCGGAGCUUUAAAUCUCGAUGCAUUCCAGCAAUCGAGACCUAUCGGGUAUUAUACCCAGUUUCCCGGGUUUAUCCCCGUCCUAAGGGCAGGUUGUCCACGUGUUACUGAGCAGUUCGCCAUGUAUUGCUACAUUCGACU